GACGAACGCUGGCGGCGUGCUUAACACAUGCAAGUCGAACGGAAAGGCCCUGAUUUUGUGGGGUGCUCGAGUGGCGAACGGGUGAGUAACACGUGUGUAACCUGCCCUUGACUUUGGGAUAACUUCAGGAAACUGGGGCUAAUACCGGAUAGGAGCUCCUGCUGCAUGGUGGUGGUUGGAAAGUUUCGGCGGUUGGGGAUGGACUCGCGGCUUAUCGGCUUGUUGGUGUGGUAGUGGCUUACCAAGGUUUUGACGGGUAGCCGGCCUUAGAGGGUGACCGGCCACAAGGGGACUGCGAUACGGCCCAGAAGCCUACGGGAGGCAGUAGGGGGGAAUAUUGCACAAUGGGCGGAAGCCUGAGGCAGAAACGCCGCGUGCGGGAUGACGGCCUUCGGGUUGGAAACCGCUUUCGCCGGUGACGAAGCGUGAGUGACGGUAAUGGGUAAAGAAGCACCGGCUAACUACGUG
rnacentral:rRNA from 1 species